ensembl:lncRNA
GGCGGCAGGGGGCAGCGGGGCACCGCGCCCGGGCCGUGUGGCGGGGAGGCGGCGCUGGAAGACCGCUACUGGCGGCCCGCCUCAGCGCGGCUGGAGGGCGUCAUCUCGCAGCGGGAGCUUUCUUUAAGGUUUCCAUGGAUGAGAGACUGUCAUGCCUUCAGACUGUGUCUCAUUGCUUGAAGCAGAUCAGUUCUGCGCUGCAGCGGGGGAUGUGCUGCACCUGUGGGAUGUACAGAGAAGAAAGCGGGGCCACAAAGAGGGGAAGUGGCUUGCUCAAGGUGAUACAGCAGUUCUUCAGCAGAGGCUGGGAGCGGCAAAAGAUGAGAGACCUUCAUCGUGGAGCCGAGUAUUCGCUAGUAGGGAAGAGCUGAAAGUACUUCGGAAGAAAGGAAGUAUAGAAAAUUAGAGAAGUUGGACUACUCAACUCAUUUAUUUCUGCCUGGGAAGGUUCUUUGCUUCCUUUUGUUUCACAGGUUUAUGUCUGUAGCAAAGCUUCUUCAUAGGCUUAGCAUUUCUGCUCUCUUGUCUUUGCAAGGUAUGGUACUACUUUUGUCCAUUUUUGUGAGUUUGCUUGGCACUGAUCUCACAGAAUAUGUUGUCUUCCAUUAUUAAAUACUAUACUAAUAGUUUUUUGUUGUUGUUUGUUUUCUUUUGGUUUGUUUUUUUUUUUUUUGGUUUUUUUUCAGUGAUAAAUAGUGGGAACUAUUGCCUGGCUCCAUGGUUUUAAGAUUGCUUCUGUUUUAUCCUACAGAGAACAAGAGUAGCUUCCUUAGGCCUACCUUAAAUCUUCUGGAUAGACCAAACCCC